rnacentral:rRNA from 1 species
AGAUUAAGUUAUUAAGGGCGCACGGUGGAUGCCUUGGCACUAGAAGCCGAUGAAGGACGUUACUAACGACGAUAUGCUUUGGGGAGCUGUAAGUAAGCUUUGAUCCAGAGAUUUCCGAAUGGGGGAACCCAGCACGAGUUAUGUCGUGUUAUCCGCAUAUGAAUUCAUAGUAUGUGAGAAGGUAGACCCGGAGAACUGAAACAUCUUAGUACCCGGAGGAAGAGAAAGAAAAAUCGAUUCCCUGAGUAGCGGCGAGCGAAACGGGAAGAGCCCAAACCAACAAGCUUGCUUGUUGGGGUUGUAGGACACUCUAUACGGAGUUACAAAAGUAUUUGUUAGACGAAUAACCUGGAAAGGUUAAUCAGAGAAGGUAAUAAUCCUGUAGUCGAAAACGAAUACCCUCUUGAGUGGAUCCUGAGUACGACGGAGCACGUGAAAUUCCGUCGGAAUCUGGGAGGACCAUCUCCUAAGGCUAAAUACUCUCUAGUGACCGAUAGUGAACCAGUACCGUGAGGGAAAGGUGAAAAGUACCCCGGAAGGGGAGUGAAAGAGAACUUGAAACCGUGUGCUUACAAGUAGUCAGAGCCCGUUAAUGGGUGAUGGCGUGCCUUUUGUAGAAUGAACCGGCGAGUUACGAUCUGAUGCAAGGUUAAGCAGAAAAUGUGGAGCCGUAGCGAAAGCGAGUCUGAAUAGGGCGAAUGAGUAUUUGGUCGUAGACCCGAAACCAGGUGAUCUACCCUUGGUCAGGUUGAAGUUCAGGUAACACUGAAUGGAGGACCGAACCGACUUACGUUGAAAAGUGAGCGGAUGAACUGAGGGUAGCGGAGAAAUUCCAAUCGAACUUGGAGAUAGCUGGUUCUCUCCGAAAUAGCUUUAGGGCUAGCCUCAAGUGAUGAUUAUUGGAGGUAGAGCACUGUUUGGACGAGGGGCCCCUCUCGGGUUACCGAAUUCAGACAAACUCCGAAUGCCAAAUAAUUUAACUUGGGAGUCAGAACGUGGGUGAUAAGGUCCAUGUUCGAAAGGGAAACAGCCCAGACCACCAGCUAAGGUCCCAAAAUAUAUGUUAAGUGGAAAAGGAUGUGGCGUUGCCCAGACAACUAGGAUGUUGGCUUAGAAGCAGCCAUCAUUUAAAGAGUGCGUAAUAGCUCACUAGUCGAGUGACACUGCGCCGAAAAUGUACCGGGGCUAAACAUAUUACCGAAGCUGUGGAUUGUCCGUAGGACAAUGGUAGGAGAGCGUUCUAAGGGCGUUGAAGCAUGAUCGCAAGGACAUGUGGAGCGCUUAGAAGUGAGAAUGCCGGUGUGAGUAGCGAAAGACGGGUGAGAAUCCCGUCCACCGAUUGACUAAGGUUUCCAGAGGAAGGCUCGUCCGCUCUGGGUUAGUCGGGUCCUAAGCUGAGGCCGACAGGCGUAGGCGAUGGAUAACAGGUUGAUAUUCCUGUACCACCAAUAUUCGUUUUAAGCGAUGGGGGGACGCAGUAGGAUAGGCGAAGCGUGCUGUUGGAGUGCACGUCCAAGCAGUGAGAUUGAGUGUUAGGCAAAUCCGGCACUCAUUAAGAUUGAGCUGUGAUGGGGAGAGGAAAUUGUUUCCUCGAGUCGUUGAUUUCACACUGCCGAGAAAAGCCUCUAGCUAGAAUAUCGGUGCCCGUACCGCAAACCGACACAGGUAGUCAAGAUGAGAAUUCUAAGGUGAGCGAGCGAACUCUCGUUAAGGAACUCGGCAAAAUGACCCCGUAACUUCGGGAGAAGGGGUGCUCUUUGGGGUUCACGCUCUGAAGAGCCGCAGUGAAUAGGCCCAAGCGACUGUUUAUCAAAAACACAGGUCUCUGCUAAACCGUAAGGUGACGUAUAGGGGCUGACGCCUGCCCGGUGCUGGAAGGUUAAGAGGAGUGGUUAGCGUAAGCGAAGCUACGAAUCGAAGCCCCAGUAAACGGCGGCCGUAACUAUAACGGUCCUAAGGUAGCGAAAUUCCUUGUCGGGUAAGUUCCGACCCGCACGAAAGGCGUAACGAUUUGGGCACUGUCUCAACGAGAGACUCGGUGAAAUCAUAGUACCGGUGAAGAUGCCGGUUACCCGCGACAGGACGGAAAGACCCCGUGGAGCUUUACUGUAGCCUGAUAUUGAAAUUCGGUACAGUUUGUACAGGAUAGGUAGGAGCCUUAGAAGCGUGAGCGCUAGCUUACGUGGAGGCACUGGUGGGAUACUACCCUAAUUGUAUUGGAUUUCUAACCCGCAGCACUUAUCGUGCUGGGAGACAGUGUCAGGCGGGCAGUUUGACUGGGGCGGUCGCCUCCUAAAGUGUAACGGAGGCGCUCAAAGGUUCCCUCAGAAUGGUUGGAAAUCAUU